UCUAUUCUGUUCUAUAUGAUAAUGAAACCAAAUCAAUGUCUCUGCUCAGACCCCUUCUGACAAGGUCUGUGGCGCCCACCAUGGCGUUAGGGCCACAGCCUCCUGCCCCAUGUGCCAGGCCCGGCUCUGCCCAGCUCCCUGCAGCUGCGCCAGUGUGUGCUGUGACUCGUGCUCCUGGUUUGUCAUCUGCCUCUCAGUAGACACCACGGCCUUCAAGCUUUCUCCGCUCCGUGACCAGCAGCUGGGACGGGACCAGCAGUGCAUGCGGCUCUGGAUUCAUGUUUGUUGAAUGACUGACUGAACGGAGGCUCCCUUACAGAAGUGAACGGCGCGGCCCUCCCUGAGUUCCGGCCUGGCUCUGGAUACCAAGGAGCAAGCCACACUGGGCAUCCCACCCCAGGGAUCCAGGAAGGGGGCGUGUCGGCCGAGUGCGAGCCCGUUUCUGAACACCCUGUGAAGUUGGUGAGAAUUCAGGUGCCUAUCGGCCGGGCUCCACCUGUGCACCAGGUGUGGCCGCCUCACUGUGACUUCAAAGGUCCCCGGGGAGGAAGGAGGCUCCCAGCUGCACACAGCCACAGUCUAGUCCUAGCAGCAGUGACCUUGGUUUGGAGCCCGGGUUGGGGACCCCAGUGAUGCCAAUUUUCUUUGCCCUCAUCAUCCCAAGGCGGCUGCUGCAGUUUCAGACAUCACAACUUUGUUCAGCGCAAAGGAGAAGGGGGACAGGGGAUGAGAAAACUGGAGUUCGGAGAUGGGCUUGCUCACGGCCUCACAGCCAGGGAGCCUGCUCACCCCAGUGUGUGCCCAGCCAGAAACCUGCGUCUGGGCCCCCAGAGGCUGGGCUCCUCACAGUGGGGACCCACCAUGUCCACUGCCUGCAGGAACCGACAGAGAGGCUGUGAUGCUGAGCCCCGGCCUCAUGCAACAAAGCUUUGCCCGACGGAAUGCACCCAGCGGCAGUGGAGAGCAGUGCUGGAUCCUGCGGGGUUGAGGCGGUGGAGCUUGGCCGUACAUGAAGUGUAGUGCCAGGAUCUGCUUCUGAUGAGGCCUCAGGAAGCUUCCAGUUGUGGUGGAAGGUUCAAGCAAUUCUCCUGCCUCAGCCUCCCAAGCAGCUGGGAUAACAGGAUGACCCACGCCAUUCAGGAAGGACCCACUCCUGUGAUCCAAACACCUCCUACCAGCCCCCACCUCCAGCACUGGUGAUUACAUUUCAACAUGAGAUCUGUGGGGACAAACAUCUAAACCAUAUCGAGUGGGCUCAGGAGGCAGCAGCCCUGGAAGAUGCCGAGUGCCUGGGAGGACAGAGGAAGAUGCCGGAGUUCACGGGUGCCAUGUGCAGGGCUCCGGCCCACAGCCAUGGGGAUGCCCCUUCCCACACCAGCUCCUGCAACUGGAAGGCUGUGGGCCACUCACUCUGAAGCCUCCCCUUUCCAGACACAAGGGCAGGAGUCAAGGGCAGUGGCAACAUCCCCCAGAGAUGCCGAUGGACGGUGUUUCAACCUAAAUCGGACAGCCGCACUCCCUCCCUGGCCACACAGCAGGACAGAGACCAGGACACAGCGGCCCACCCGCUGCCCUCACACUCCCCUCCUCCACGGUGUGAACUAAACCGCACACGUGGCCUGUUACUCGGACAAGGUGGGAAGGUGUGGCCCCACCCCCUCCUAAGACAUUACGAUGCGGAGAACCCCCAAGCCCACCCUCAACUGUGUUCACUGGAAACAGCCCAGCAAGGGCUACGUGUGCCUUCCGGUUUCACAUUUGGGAAGUGGGUAAAAUGCAGUAUUGACAGUUCUCAAAUAUUGGUGUUGAUCUUAACUGCUAGAGAUACCGUGAGGGAAAAGAGCGCUUUUGUUCAACGUUUAUGAAUGGAUAAAGGAGGAAC